AUGGCCUCACCCGUCUCAUCCUCCUCGGUGGCGGUGCCCUCCGGUUCGUCGCCGUCCAGGUGCCUCCCUUCCACGUCGUCGGCGGCGCCGGCGCAAACCCUAGAUCUGGGAUCGGGUCUUGCAUUGGUGCCCCGGUCCGUGGGCCGGGUCCCUCUGGUCGGUGACGGGCCGUGUGGGCCUGUGUCGGCCCCUUCGCUGGAUUCCACGGCUGAUUUCCCCCCCCCCCUCGUGUCUGAGUCUGAUGGGCCUAGGCCAGCCCAGUUGAGUCCGCCUCCCCCUUCGGCCCUUUCGACAGAGCCCGGCCUGGCUGGCUCCGGCUAUUUAUGGGUCCGGAAGGGGUCGGUUCCCCCUUUUCUAGGGUUUCCUGCCUCCGCUGCUGAUCUGCGACGGCGCCGUUUCCCUAUCCGCCGCUUUGUCAGAUCCAAGCCUCCCCCUCCCCUCCUCCUUCCCUUCUCGUCGGUGGUGGCGAUGGACCGCUCCCGUGGGUCCUCCAGCGACGCUGUCUCCAGCCUCAAGCGGGGGCGAGACGGCUCUGGCGACGCCGCUGCGGAUCUGGAGUUUGAGGCGUCGCUCCGCGCCAAGCUCCAGGCUUCGCGGUCGGAGGCGGGUGCCGCUUCGCCGCGUGCGUCUGGUUCCGGGCCGGUGGCUUCUCCGUCCUUGGCGCCCGCAGCUCCGGUGCAUGUGGUCGACCCUUGGGAACAGGCGGCGCGGGGGAGCCGGGCGGGAUCUUCGGGCCCCUCCUCGUCUCCUUCCUCGCUUGCUCCCAUGGGUGGGCCGCCGCGGGCGCCGGCGGCGGGCGGCGGCGGGCCGUCCCGCUUCGUUCCUCGUGGUGGCUCUGGGGCCCCGGCCUGGCGUCCGGUUGGCCCUGCGGCGGGACGUGGUGCUGGCGCGGGUGCCGUCGGUGGUUCUUCUGGAGAUGGCAUCCUCCCUCCGCCGCCUUCUCGUGGUGCGAACCGUAACUCCUCUCACUCCCAGGUUUCUAAUCCCAUCCUCACCUGCUUCGCGUGUCAUCGCCCUGGCCAUUUCUAG
rnacentral:rRNA from 1 species